AUUGAACGCUGGCGGCAGGCUUAACACAUGCAAGUCGAGCGGAAACGAGAAGUACUUGUACUUCGGCGUCGAGCGGCGGACGGGUGAGUAAUGCUUGGGAAUAUGCCUUUUGGUGGGGGACAACAGUUGGAAACGACUGCUAAUACCGCAUAAUGUUUACGGACCAAAGCGGGGGCUUCUUCGGAACCUCGUGCCAAAAAGAUUAGCCCAAGUGAGAUUAGCUAGUUGGUGGGGUAAUGGCCUACCAAGGCGACGAUCUCUAGCUGGUUUUGAGAGGAUGAUCAGCCACACUGGGACUGAGACACGGCCCAGACUCCUACGGGAGGCAGCAGUGGGGAAUAUUGCACAAUGGGGGAAACCCUGAUGCAGCCAUGCCGCGUGUGUGAAGAAGG
rnacentral:rRNA from 1 species